AAUAAGGUGGCUGAAAUUUAGGUUGUAAAUUGUAAAUUUAUAUAUGGUGUUAAACCCCUUGUUA
rnacentral:tRNA from 1 species